GAUGAACGCUAGCGGCAGGCCUAAUACAUGCAAGUCGUACGGCAACACAGCUGCGAGCAAUCGCAACCGGUGGCGAGUGGCGCACGGGUGAGUAACGCGUAUGUAACCUACCCUUCUCCGGGACAUAACUCCGCGAAAGCGGUGCUAAUAUCCCAUACCAACUCAUCAAGACAUCUUCUUGAGUUGAAAGCAGCAAUGCGGUGAAGGAUGGGCAUGCGUCCCAUUAGCUGGUUGGUGAGGUAAUGGCCCACCAAGGCUACGAUGGGUAGGGGUUCUGAGAGGAAAGCCCCCCACACUGGUACUGAGACACGGACCAGACUCCUACGGGAGGCAGCAGUAAGGAAUAUUGGGCAAUGGUCGAAAGACUGACCCAGCCAUGCCGCGUGCAGGAUGAAGGCCCUAUGGGUUGUAAACUGCUUUUAGCCGGGAAUAAACACCCGUUUUAUAACGGGCCCGAAGGUACCGGCUGAAUAAGCAUCGGCUAACUCCGUGCCAGC
rnacentral:rRNA from 1 species